ACGGCGGCGAGCCGGGCACGCCAGCCGCGCGGCCCACCAAGGCAGCGCCGCCCGACGAAGACAGCGGCCACGGCUCCACGGCCGCCGGCAGCGACGAGCAGCUCGGCAAGAUGUCGGCCGGGGUGCAGGUCGACCGCGCCCGGCUGCUGCUGCUCUGCGAGAGAACGGUGGCGCUGACGGGCGGCUGGACGGUGGCCGCCCUGGAGGAGCUGCACGACCGCCUCCUCUCCGCCGUCCGCCGGUUCGCCUACCGCAGGCUCCGCAACGACAUGCUCAAGGAGAUGGAAGACAUUCUGGAGACGUACUGACUCCAUCAUCACUGCCAUUGAAAUCAAAACCCGACGCACUGCCAUGGCCGAUGUGGCUCAAACCAAAAAGGAUCGCCGUUUACACACCGGACCUGCUGGAUUUUGCUCAGGACUCUGUGUGUUCUUCACUGUGUGCUUGUAAUCUUGGGGCCCGAGCAGGACCCGCGCAAACGACGAAGCGACGCCGUUUUUCCUCUCGAGGUUCUGGUUUUGUUAUUGUUUGCCACUGGAUCUCGCCUGUAACCCAUGUCCAGGUGGCAUUGGACGCCUCUUCAUUUGUAGGGGUCGAUUAAUGUAUGAUAGACUUUCGCUGGAUGGGGCGGGGUUGCGACGGAGAGGAGAUGGGGAGGGGUGCAGUAUAACUGCCCUCCUCUGAUGGUGUCCAGGCAAGUCCAGCAUAACAGUAACUGCCAUCUGUCCAGGUCGCUGUAAUGGUAGCUUGUGGGUUUCGCGUAGAACAGAAGCCCGCGUUUUGUCUAAGCUUUUGUCCUUCCAUUUGGUACUCAAAUAAAUGUGUUUGCACUAA